rnacentral:lncRNA from 1 species
AUAAACAUUACAUAAUAUAUGGGGCUACAUACAUAAGGCAUACAAUGUCACACGAAUACAACAAUACGACAUACAAGAACUACAUCCGACUACGGAUGAAUCAUAAAUAGAAACUCAAACGACAUCCACCCUGCUAGCCCAGGCUGCCGACCUGGAACCUAUCCCCUGAUCGAAGAAGCAGAAGAAGAACUCAACGCAAGCAAACAUCGCUCUCGCGUCAUGAUCAUCGGAUAAACCUGUACCUGCAACUGAUGUUGUAGUAAUCUGUGAGCCAUGAGGACUCAGCAAUCCCAUUACCAUGGGUAUCAAGACUAGCAAAGCUUAAAGGGAAAGGAAGGGGUAAAGUGGUGAGGCUGUAGCAGCGACUAAGCAUAUAUGGUGGCUAACAUACGCAAAUAAGAGCGAGAAGAGAACAAGCGGAACGGUCGUGAAUCUAGCAAUGAUCAAGAAGUGAUCCUGAACCCCUACUUACGUCAAACAUAACACAGAAACCGUGUUCACUUUCCGGACUCCGCCGAGAAGAGACCAUCAUGGCUACACACACGGUUGAUGCGUUUUAAAUUGGAUCAGGUGUCAAGUUAUCUACAACCGGACAUUAACAAAUUCCCAUCUGCCAAUAACCGCAGGCACGGCUUUCGAAAUAUUAUACCCUGCAGGGGUGUCCCAACUUAGCCCAUGAUAAGCUCUCGCGAUCAACGAAGGAAUAGACCUUCUCCCAGGAAGACCCGAUCAGACUCGGAAUCCCGGUUUACAAGACAUUUCGACAAUGGUAAAACAAGACCAGCAAAGCCGCCCGAUGCGCCGACAAUCCCGAUAGGAGCUGCACAUAUCUCAUUCUCAGGGCAACACCGGAUGAGACAUCCUACGAGUAAAACCAAACCUCGAGUUUCCCCGAGGUGGCCCCACAGUCUACUCGGUUCGGACCAACACUUAGACAAGCACUGGCCGGGGGGGGGCUAUAAUAAAGAUGACCCUUGGGUUAAUUACUCCCAAGGGAAAAGUAGGUGGUGGUGAGGCAAAUGGUAAAAGUCAAUGUUGGGCCUUGCUGGAGGAGUUUUAUUCAAAGCGAACUGUCAAGGGGGUCCCAUAAAUCACCCGACCGCCUAAGGAACGCAAAAUCCGGGAACAUAACACCGGUAUGACGGAAACUAGGGCGGCAAGAGUGGAACAAAACACCAGGCAUAAGGCCGAGCCUUCCACCUUUUACCAAAUAUAUAGAUGCAUUAAUAAUAUAAGAGAUAUUGUGAUAUCCCAACAUAAAUCCUGUCCACCAUGGAGAAAUCUUCAACUUCACCUACAACUAGCAACGCUAUAAGAGGGGCUGAGCAGAGCGGUAACAUAGCCAAACAACGGUUUGCAUAGGAAAGGUGUCAAAGGUCAGAGGUUCAUGGCAACAUGAGAUGGCUCGAUAAACAGAUGAUAGGUAGCGCAGCAAAGCGAUAGAACGAAGCAACUAGCAUAGCAAUGAUAGUAUUGAGAUCCAGGGUAGCAGUCAUCUUGCCUGAAAUCCCGCAAGGAAGAAGAACGAGUCCAUGAAGAAGACAAACGGACGUGGUCGAACGAAUCCUCACAACGCCGGAACGAAACCGAAGGCAACCCGGAAAGAAACAAACAACACGGUAAACAACCAUCACAUAAGCAUGGCAUGAUGCACAAUCAAGUAUGAUGCAUGUCCGGUUUAAUGAGGCAUGGAAUGGCAAAGUGCAACAAACAAUACUACAAGUUAAGUGGAGCUCAAUAUGCAACGAGUUGCAUAUUGACAAAACACCACAUUCGAGUUAUUUAGUUCGCUCUCGUUUAGGUACACAACAAUAUUAAAUGUUGUUAAACAUGACAAAAGGUGAAGCAUAAGAAAACUACCUAUCUAGGCAAGUUUAAAUGAGGCCGGAACAACAAACAACAAUUCUGGAAAAUCCUCAUGUUAUUUAGCAACUUAACGCAAACAAUUUUAAACAUUUUAAUUGUUGUUAUCAUGAUGCAGAUGACAUAUGCAUGUUUUAAGCAAUUUUAUGAAAAUAUUGACAUGAGCAUGUUAUGAAGCAUUUGGUCACCAUGGCGGAACAAAAAGGGUGCCAUGGCGGCGAAACGGAAAUGGUGCCACGGCAACAUUCCGGUCCCGGUAACUCGAUUGAGAUACCGAUGCAAGAGAGAAGUGUGCGGAUGAGUGUGUCAUGCAAAAGGAUGGUGGGGUGAUCCUGAUUACCGGGUGUCCCACAUGUCGGUGGCAUGGAAACAAGGAACGCGCAAGCGACAACUCAGACACGGUGCAAACGGUGCAUCUCAUUCAACACAUGCAUUCGUUCACGGGCUUCGUCUCGGGGUUAUACCUUCGAAGCGUCCAUUUCGGGGCGGUUCAAAAUCGUCAAGGGAAGUAGUCGUUCACGGGACGUAGGGGAAGUAGUUGUACU